rnacentral:rRNA from 1 species
GUGGGGAAUAUUGCACAAUGGGCGCAAGCCUGAUGCAGCCAUGCCGCGUGUGUGAAGAAGGCCUUCGGGUUGUAAAGCACUUUCAGUGGUGAGGAAGGCUAUAUGUUUAAUAGACAUGUAGAUUGACGUUAGCCACAGAAGAAGCACCGGCUAACUCCGUGCCAGCAGCCGCGGUAAUACGGAGGGUGCGAGCGUUAAUCGGAAUUACUGGGCGUAAAGCGUACGUAGGCGGCUUAUUAAGCAAGAUGUGAAAGCCCCGGGCUCAACCUGGGAAUUGCAUUUUGAACUGGUAGGCUCGAGUUUUGAAGAGGGUGGUAGAAUUUCCAGUGUAGCGGUGAAAUGCGUAGAUAUUGGAAGGAAUACCAGUGGCGAAGGCGGCCACCUGGUCAAAAACUGACGCUGAGGUACGAAAGCGUGGGGAGCAAACAGGAUUAGAAACCCUAGUAGUCC